AGUGAACGCUGGCGGUAGGCCUAACACAUGCAAGUCGAACGGCAGCACAGUAAGAGCUUGCUCUUACGGGUGGCGAGUGGCGGACGGGUGAGGAAUACAUCGGAAUCUACUUUUUCGUGGGGGAUAACGUAGGGAAACUUACGCUAAUACCGCAUACGACCUACGGGUGAAAGCAGGGGAUCUUCGGACCUUGCGCGAUUGAAUGAGCCGAUGUCGGAUUAGCUAGUUGGCGGGGUAAAGGCCCACCAAGGCGACGAUCCGUAGCUGGUCUGAGAGGAUGAUCAGCCACACUGGAACUGAGACACGGUCCAGACUUCUACGGGAGGCAGCAGUGGGGAAUAUUGGGCAAUGGGCGCAAGCCUGAUCCAGCCAUACCGCGUGGGUGAAGAAGGCCUUCGGGUUGUAAAGCCCUUUUGUUGGGAAAGAAAAGCAGCAGGUUAAUACCCCGCUGUUCUGACGGUACCCAAAGAAUAAGCACCGGCUAACUUCGUG
rnacentral:rRNA from 1 species